rnacentral:rRNA from 1 species
UUUCGAAUCAUUCACAAUGGGGGCAACCCUGAUGGUGCAACGCCGCGUGGGGGAUGACGGUUCUCGAAUUGUAAACCCCUGUCACCAGGGACUAACCGGUGGGUUCAUAGCCUGCCCUGAAUUAACCUGGAGAGGAAGCAGUGGCUAACUCCGUGCCAGCAGCCGCGGUAAUACGGAGACUGCAAGCGUUACUCGGAUUCACUGGGCGUAAAGCGUGCGUAGGCGGAUAGGUAUGUCAGGUGUGAAAUCCCGGGGCUUAACCCCGGAACUGCGCUUGAAACUACCUAUCUCGAGUUUCGGAGAGGUAAGCGGAAUUUCUGGUGUAGCGGUGAAAUGCGUAGAUAUCAGAAGGAACACCCAAGGCGAAGGCAGCUUACUGGACGGAUACUGACGCUGAGGUACGAAAGCGUGGGGAGCGAAAGGGAUUAGAUACCCCCGUAGUCC